CAAACCCACAACAAAACCCACACAGGCAGAGCUGAGAACCCUCUCCAGGAAGCUGACUUAUACUAAACCACUCGCCUAUUUCUUGUUACAUUACAUCUUGCUUUGCUGCCCCUGCCUGUUUAGAUUAACUAAACCCAGUCUCCUGGGCUUUUUUUUUAUCUUUCUUAAGUAAAAUACUGAGAACCUGGUAAGGAAAAUUCAACUGAAGAAAAAACUUAGAGCUCACAUUUUCUUCUUUAUCUCCCACCUGCACUUAGAAUGUUCUGCCUUCUAUAACAUUUAUUUUCGAGAGCCUCGUUCAACUUCCUGUGUCUGCUCUGUUUCCAUUAGUGCAAUGGGCAGGUGCAAGGUUGUGAUAUCUGGAAGAGGCCAUCUUUAACAUAGAUUUGUCCUGAGGAUGACAUUUUUAGAGGAAGGUCAUUUGACUCAUUGAAGAGUUGGCAGGAUCAUACACUUGUGUGGGAGAGAAGGGGAUUUUAUACUCCAAUGAAAUACCCACAUUUUGAAAUGCUAAGAAAUCUGGAUGUCUUCUUGCUGAAUAGAAAUUAUUUCUAAAGCAUCUUGGUGCACUGAAACAGGACAGU
rnacentral:lncRNA from 1 species